UACAGAGGUCUCAAGCGUUGUUCGGAUUCAUUGGGCGUAAAGGGUGCGUAGGCGGCGCGGUAAGUCGGGUGUGAAAUCUCGGAGCUUAACUCCGAAACUGCAUUCGAUACUGCCGUGCUUGAGGACUGGAGAGGAGACUGGAAUUUACGGUGUAGCGGUGAAAUGCGUAGAUAUCGUAAGGAAGACCAGUGGCGAAGGCGGGUCUCUGGACAGUUCCUGACGCUGAGGCACGAAGGUCAGGGGAGCAAACGGA
rnacentral:rRNA from 1 species